rnacentral:rRNA from 1 species
UGCGUAGGCGGAUAGAUAAGUCAGAGGUGAAAGCCUCCCGCUCAACGGGAGAAUUGCCUUUGAUACUGUUUAUCUCGAAUAAGGUUGAGGUUAGCGGAAUGUGACAUGUAGCGGUGAAAUGCAUAGAUAUGUCAUAGAACACCAAUUGCGUAGGCAGCUAGCUAGGCCUUUAUUGACGCUGAGGCACGAAAGCAUGGGGAGCGAACAGGAUUAGAUACCCUGGUAGUCC